CCGGCGACCGGCGCACGGGUGAGUAACACGUAUGCAACCUGCCCUCCGCAGGGGGAUAACCCGGAGAAAUCCGGACUAAUACCGCGUGGUACAUCUGUGGGGCAUCCCACGGGUGUUAAAAGGAAGCGAUUCCGGCGGAGGAUGGGCAUGCGGCGCAUUAGCUAGUUGGCGGGGUAACGGCCCACCGUGGCGACGAUGCGUAGGGGUUCUGAGAGGAAGGUCCCCCACACUGGUACUGAGACACGGACCAGACUCCUACGGAAGGCAGCAG
rnacentral:rRNA from 1 species